rnacentral:tRNA from 1 species
GGCACUAUGGCCGAGUGGUUAAGGCGAGAGACUCGAAAUCUCUUGGGCUAUGCCCGCGUCGGUUCAAAUCCGGCUGGUGUCG